GUAGGUUGCUUUUGAGAGUCUGACAAAGGAAGUAAAACCCUACCUGCACAAGAAGCACUCCAUAGAGUUGACUAUGGUAUUUGUUAGAUGAUUCUGACUUUAUGGGAAGCCUCAGUCACACAUGGAAGUUAACUCGAGUCACAGAGUGGUCCCUGUGCAGCUGGCCCAGGCGGCCAUGGAGAUACAGGCUGAAGUACCUUACCUGUCAUGGAGAACACAGAGACAGCUGAGACUGGUAAUAAAGAAGGACUGCUAUGGGUGAGAUAUUGGAUCUUGCAGAGUGUGAGCCCAUAAUAAUGGUAAGUGAAUGCUUUGUAGGGUAAGCACACUCCACGAGGAGAGAGAAAUGGACUGUAUCUCCUUUGGUCCAGGUACACACAGAAAUUCUCAAAUUCAUCAUUUGGAAACAACUUUCUAUUUCUCAUAGUUGCUACCCAAUUGUCAUUAAUGUUAUUAGUUGUGAUUAUCAGAGUCUCUUUAUUGGAGGUAUUUCCCUUUCUCAACACCCUAUCCUUCAACCCCAGA
rnacentral:lncRNA from 1 species